rnacentral:rRNA from 1 species
GGAAUAGACGGCCCCGUGAAACGGGCCGCCCCCGCCAGAGGACCCUUAACUCUGUUUCUAUAAUGUUUCUUCUGAGUAAAACAAGCAAAUAAAUUAAAACUUUCAACAACGGAUCUCUUGGCUCUGGCAUCGAUGAAGAACGCAGCGAAAUGCGAUAAGUAAUGUGAAUUGCAGAAUUCAGUGAAUCAUCGAAUCUUUGAACGCACAUUGCGCCCGCCAGUAUUCUGGCGGGCAUGCCUGUUCGAGCGUCAUUACAACCCUCAGGCCCCCGGGCCUGGCGUUGGGGAUCGGCGGAGCCCCCCGUGGGCACACGCCGUCCCCCAAAUACAGUGGCGGUCCCGCCGCAGCUUCCAUCGCGUAGUAGCUAACACCUCGCGACUGGAGAGCGGCGCGGCCACGCCGUAAAACACCCAACUCUUCUGAAGUGACCUCGAAUCAGGAGAUGCGUU